rnacentral:ncRNA from 1 species
GAGAGCAUAGUACAAUGAAAGUUGUGAGUUGUGUUCGGGGGGGAGUUAUUGUUUAUCGUUGGCCUCUAUUGUAGAAUCAGUCAGGGAGGCCUGAGAGAUGGUGGUUUACCCUGU